CUAGUGGUGUUGUGGAGAGAGGCACUGAGACUAGUGGUGUUGUGGAGACCGGCUUGGAGACUAUGGUGAGGCCUAAUAGAAAGCAGUUGUUGUUGGGGGGUUCCAUUAUAAGAGGUGUGGAGAUGGACAAUGGUGGUCUUGUGAGGUGUCUUCCCGGAGCUACUGCUCACAGAGACAGGAGACGUAUCUCUAAUAUUGUUAAGCAAGCAAAGCAGGAAGGGGAAUUGGAUGUACUUGUCCAUCUAGGGACAAAUGAC
rnacentral:lncRNA from 1 species